rnacentral:tRNA from 1 species
GGAUUGUGGCUCAGCGGUAGAGCGCUCACCUCGCACGAGCAAGACCCUGGGUUCAAUCCUCAGCACCA